UUUAAUUUUAGACAUACAGACCCUGAAGCGUACUACUACACCACUUGAAAGAAAUGGUACGAAACGAUUCUUACACGGAACAGUGAAUGGUUUCCACGGAAUGGUUAACGGUUUACAUAGAACGCUUCGCAUGAAAUGCUGACCACUUUGUGAACGGUCUGCACGAAAUGAUAUGCAGGCCUCCACGCUUUGAUUUUUUUUGGCAUUAAUCGGUUCUUUCCUACUUUCCUACUACAUGUAUUGAAAUAAUUUCAAUAUAUUGGUAUAAUAUUCUUUAUAAUGAAAAAAGUUGAGAAAGAAAUCAUAAUGAUCCACUUUAAAAUUAUUGUUCAUUUCCAACACAGUAAAUUGCUCCUUUUUAAUUAUCAAUAAAUAAACAAUAAAUAAGGACCCCAUUGGAAAUAAGCCAUAUGGCUUUCAUGGGUUAUCCUUGGCAUAGGCAUAUACAUUAAUUUACUCACUGUGCUCUUUAAGUCAAAUAGCUGUUAAAAUUUACCUUUUUAUCUUAUGUAUUUAACAAAGUCACAUUAAAAUGAGUUAUGUAAAUAUAUUUUAGUCCUAGUACCAUAUAACCCGUACUGAGCACCUGUCAGUUCAGUUUUUUAUCACUGUAAAUAUCCUAUUUGUAACCUCAGUUCACUGGACUUUUAAACCGCCAGUUCGUGCUACAAAUCAUAUAUUGGACACGGACGGUAGUCCAGGGAGAAGGACGUCAAUAUACUUCUCUCGUUAUAUCUAAAUUGUAUCACCAUUGAAUUCUUUAUUAUCCACAUGGCUGGCACUGUGAUGACAAUUUUUAGUUAUAUAGUCCUGCUUUUCUGAGGUCCUGUCCGCCUGUGUAUUCCUUCUUGUGAUUUCCCAACAACCUGCUAUCCCGAGGAGCUCAGUUAUGUGUGGUGUCCUACCUGUGGACCCAUAAGACGUGCGUGUUUGAAGGGAUCGUUUCUUCGUAGAACACGUCUUGUAGCAGGGACGGAGAGUGUAAAGGACAAAACAGUAGUGACAAACCAGGGACCGUUUCUUGUAGAACAAGUCACAGGGAUGGAGUGUAUGAAGGGCAAACCAGUAGUGACAAACCAUACCAAUCAACAUCUUAUUUUCAUACUUGUAUCUUGAUUAUUAAUUCCAUUAAAUAUGUAAAGUGUU